GGACUACCCGGGUAUCUAAUCCUGUUUGCUCCCCACGCUUUCGUAGUUGAGUGUCAGUACCUGUCCAGGUCGCCGCUUUCGCCUCUGGUGUUCCUCCCGAUCUCUACGCAUUUCACCGCUACACCGGGAAUUCCACGACCCUCUCCAGGACUCCAGUCUCACCGUUUCUGGGGCACUUCUUGAGUUAAGCUCAAGGCUUUCACCCCAGACAAAUGAGACCACCUACCUACCCUUUACGCCCAAUAAUUCCGAGCAACGCUUGCACCCUCCGUAUUACCGCGGCUGCUGGCAC
rnacentral:rRNA from 1 species